GCCCUGCUACAGGAAGUCAGUACCCAGGGAAGUCAAUAAAAGCUUCCCUCACCAACAUGGCUGGUUCCCCACUUCCUGUCAAGAUGGACCAUACCACCACACCCAACUCAGGACACUCCCAACCACAGGCUUCCAGUCCUGAUACACCAGGUUGCUGGUGCUCCAGGUCCAUAGAUCGAAUCCUCUUUGGUUCGUGUGUCUGCGGCAGUGUUUUAGUCCUCCUGAGAAAGGCAAGGUUCAAUGGUCAAAACCUCCGUGGUUUAUUUACUUUCGGUUCCUGUGUUACUCGCUCCCGCACCAAACUCUCCCCAACCUAACCAACAGACUCCACUACACAGUUCCCUUAUAUAUACCAAGCCCCACCCCGUUAAUCCACCACAGCCAGUCGCUAGUCGAUCAGCUAUUGCUGAAACCUCAGUCUUAAUUUAGCACGUGUAGCCGACCUCCCCAUGAUGGCCGUCUCAACCGGACUCUAUAUCUACUGUAUGCGCCAUCUUGUUGAGGUCACGUCAGUCUAGCGCCUCCGUCUGUCGGGAGGUCAGUUUUUCCGCACUCCUCCUCCACACUUUCACAAGCACUGCAUGCUAAAAUCAGCUUGUCAUAAUGCAGUUUACUGAGGGUGCUGCUUUGUGAAGCAAUGCUAAAAACACACAUACACAAUGACAUUCUGGACGUGCUAGAUGCCCAUUACUUCAUGAAAAAAUUAAUCAGCAUGACACCUUUGGAGCCUUCUGACUGACCUGUUUAACCUGUUUUUACAAGUAACUAUCCAAAUUGCAGUAUUUAAGUAGAUAACGACAUUAUAUGCUACAUUUCUAUUUGCUUGCUCUAAACAUUUUAUGGUAAACAUUGGAGCAAGAACUGUGGUUAAAGAUUUGUUUACUUAAAUAGAUAAAAAAAGGUGUUGAUGCUGGCUUCAUUUUGUUAACAUCAUUAAUAUAAUAGCAACUGAAUGCAUGGCUGCCAUCAUAUGCAGGGGUUACCUUUUUGUUCAAUGGCUUCCAGCACCACUAUAAAAAUUGCUCCAGCGCCUCUGCUGACACCUGACAAAGCAAAGUUCACCAAGCCAGGGGAUCAAUUCAUUUACACUAAGGUGUGCUAACAGUAUGUACCGUUAUACAACAAAAGGUUGUAUAAGAAAAAAGACCAAAAAAAAAAGACCGCUUAUUUACAGUCACCGCAAACCCCAUAUGUUUUAGAUUGAAAACAAAAAGAAACCCCACUAACAAAUACAUUUAGGUUUUUAUUCAUUCAGUUUAAAAAAUGUGUUUUUUGUUUUUUUUUGUUGGUUUUUUUAUUCUCCGAGGGCUUUGGAAUGCAUCUUUCCAGUAUCCGUGAUUAAACAAAGAGGAGCCACAUAACUGUUUGUCUCAGUGCUUGAGUGCAACUGGAGCCAGUACCAAAGGCUUUCAGCCAUUCUUUCAAGUCACGCAGAGAAGUUUCACGCAGGCCUGUGAUCACCACAAAUAGCAGGUGAAGAAGUGGAAAGAGCCUUUGCCAGGCUGAGCACAGGAAUUGUGAAGACUUGAACACAAGUAAUUAAUAACCAUGCAAGGCAAGCUUAGCUAACAGAAGGGCCUAAGAUGCAGGAUGUGCAGCUUUGCUGUUUGUGAUUACAAACCUCAACAUCUGGCUGUCUGCACAAAUAUGGGUAUUUUUUAGCCUUGGGCUAGGCUUUGUGCUCUAUGGAACAGUAAUCUUUUAAACUAAUAUCGCUUUGCAUGCACCAUUAUAGAUAAAUAUAAAGACAGGGAUAUAAAAAUCUUGAUACCCAGCCAUGGUUACCAAAAUAUUAGUUGGGCAACCAGGACUUCAUUUGUAAAAGUCUGGCUGGCUUCCUGACUCUGUUGUUUUUGGACUCCAGGGUAUUGUACAAAGGAAGGUAUUUAUAAAGUUUACUUGUGCCAAGGUAUGCAUGGAGUAAAACCUUGUGAAUUGAAAUAGGAAUGAUGUGCUUGUGACUUUAGAGAGGACAGGGUUUCUCCUUGCCUCGCAGAAAGCCGCCUUUGCAGAGGUGAGACCAAACCGAUCGGCCUCUAAGGCUGGGAAGCAACCAAUACUUCAGCCAAGGGUAACCUAGAGUGAGAGAGCUCCGAAAUUAUGGAAUGCUCUACCUUCAUUGUUAGGGAAGCUUGGACCGUUACAGUUUUCAAGUCAAGACUAAAAACGCACUUUUAUAAAAUAACUUUCUUCUUAGUGGGUUUUAAUGUAACUUUAAAAUUGCUGUUUUUGUAUUAUUAUGUGUAUACAGUUAUUUAAAUCUGUUAUUUAAAUGGUCUGAUUGUGGCAGUUGUAUGUGUGACAUGCUAUACAAAUGUAUUGUGGUUUGUUCUUUUUUUCUGCUAUGUACAGU